CUGCACUAGAUCCUUGCAGCGUUGGCCUCUGGGCCCCCUCCCGCUUAGUUCCCGGAUAAAAGCAGCCCGGCCGCACCUGCCUUGCCAGUGCAAACUCUGCAAGACUCCCAACGCCAUCAGCCCUAGUCUGAUUGCAGUCGCCUGUUCACAGCCCCGAAUCAUUCACAGCGCCAAUUAGCCCGGGCUGGGUCCUCCGGCAGAGCGGGGGCGAGCGCGCGGGAGUCCAUUUCCAGCGCCCUGACGCCAGCUGAGUCCCGCGCCCGGUAACGCGGGCUUUCAAGGGCAAGGCCGCCGCCGCGUCCCUCCGUGUCAGCGCAUUUCCCUUUCUUCCCCGCUUCAAGAACAACUGAAGUGUGGGUAGGAGAGCCAUUUAGUCCCAACUAAAGACGAAAAUGUUUUUUCCUUCUGAUAAUGUUCCCUGUUCCGUCACUCGGUAUUAUGCUCCAUAAUGUGCCGCGUGCAGCCAUUUUGUCAUCGCUUUGGGUCAUCCUUGCUCACAAUUGGUUAUUUACUCAGGGGCUUUUGAAAUUAUUGAGUUGACACAUCUGUCAGACGGCAAAAGCAGAAAUGCUAAAAGGUCACUUGGAGAGAAACCAGCUGCUCCAGACAAACCUUUCUGCCUCCAAAUAGCACAAUCAUUACAGCCUGGCAGAUGGGGCCUUCGCUUUCACUUCAGACGCUCCCCUUGCCUUCAGGUAUUUAGCUACCCUACCUCAUUGCCAGGUCAGCCGGGCCUCCCUGUAAUUACCCACACAAUAGGCAUCUCUCUGCUUAAGAAGAACAGCUCUAUUUUCUCUAAAUAGGAAACCAGUUUCCUCACGGAUAUGAGCUACCCAACGCUUGCCACAAACUUUCCUGUUAACAGAUUCGUUUUGACAGUGCAUGUCCCAGCAAAGCUUCGCAAAGAUGUCAGUAUUAAUUGUCACCAUCCUCCAGGGAGAAAGCAACAGCCCACAAUUGCCUGCAUUUUCUUUCCUCUUCAAAACCACUUCUGCUCCAAAGACCAUGAACCUGAACUGAAGAAACGACUCCUUCCUGCUGGUGUGAGAUAAUUCAGUCUCCAUGAUGUCUUAAUCCUGGGCCUCCCUUAAUUGACUUCUAACUGUGCUGAACUGUGGCUGCUAGGAGUUGCAAUGUGGAUCGCAAUUUACAAGGAAGAGAAAAAGACCGGUCUCUGUUUGGAAAUUACAAACAUAGAAGAACUUAGAAACAAUGGGUUUCUAGAUUGGGUGGAAGGACUGGCUUGGGAUCCUGAGAGAGCAAGAAAAGUUUACCGGGAGCUUCAGAAAAAGUUAUUCAUCAUUUUUGGAGUGGAUAUUCAGAAGUGACUUCCCUCUUUUGCUCUGGUGCCUGGCUACUUCAAGAGUUGAGCUAAUCACAGGGAAGAUUCAGUCUCAGUUCAGCUGCCUCAUUUGAUCAGCUCAAGACUGAGUCCAACAAAAGUGGUCUGUCUAAUGAAACUCAUUUUCAUUUUUUCUCAUUAGUCUAUACACGAUUGAGACUGUAGAACGACAAAAGAAUAAAAAGAAGAAUGACAAUUAAAAAUCAUUUUCUCUGGCCCUUGAUUUUUGCCUUCUUUUUUUUAAAUGUAGUUACGUGCUCAUUUUUUGUUUCUUUUUUAUUCUCUGCUCUUCUUUUCUAUUGAUUUUCCCAUUUAUGAAGGGGGAAUUAGUAAAUCCAUGGUCUGAGUGCUGAGAUGUUCUGAUAGGCCUUCAAGUUUUCAGCUGUACUCUGAAUCAGAAUAAUAUACUCCAUCAAGGAGACUGACAUUGGCACCACCUUCCCAGAAAUCCAGGAGCGCCUUUGCAUGAGGAAAAGCAGAAGGGAGUAAAGUCAUGAAACAUUGUGUGUGUGUUUGUAUAAAACUGUAUAUUUUUGCUCACAUAUAAUAACUAUAUAUUUCUGCUAAUUUUUCCUUUUAAAGGCUAUUAAGUUACUUAAAAUCCAUUGCCUAAUAAAACUGCAAUUCACCUUUGUAAUUCACUCAUUUGUUUGCUGUCACAGGGAAGAUAGAAAUUGAGCACGUUUUCGGCUGGGUGUGGUGGCUCACGCCUGUAAUCCUAGCACUUGGGGAGGCCGAGGUGGGCGGAUCACGAGGUCAGGAGAUCGAGACCAUCCUGGCUAACAUGGUGAAACCUCGUCUCCACUA
rnacentral:lncRNA from 1 species